UACGUAGGGUGCGAGCGUUGUCCGGAAUUAUUGGGCGUAAAGGGCUCGUAGGCGGUUUGUCGCGUCGGGAGUGAAAUCCACUGGCUUAACUGGUGGCUUGCUUUCGAUACGGGCAGACUGGAGGUAUGCAGGGGAGAACGGAAUUCCUGGUGUAGCGGUGAAAAUGCGCAGAUAUCAGGAGGAACACCGAUGGCGAAGGCAGGUCUCUGGGCAUUAACUGACGCUGAGGAGCGAAAGCAUGGGGAGCGAACAGG
rnacentral:rRNA from 1 species